rnacentral:rRNA from 1 species
UACGGGGGGGGGCAAGCGUUUGUUCGGAAUUACUGGGCGUAAAGGGCUCGUAGGCGGCCAACUAAGUCGGACGUGAAAUCCCCAGGCUCAACCUGGGAACUGCGUCCGAUACUGGAUGGCUUGAAUUCGGGAGAGGGAUGCAGAAUUCCAGGUGUAGCGGUGAAAUGCGUAGAUAUCUGGAGGAAUACCGGUGGCGAAGGCGGCAUCCUGGACCGACAUUGACGCUGAUGAGCGAAAGCCAGGGGAGCAAACGGG